rnacentral:rRNA from 1 species
CCUACGGGAGGCAGCAGUAAGGAAUAUUGGUCAAUGGAGGCAACUCUGAACCAGCCAUGCCGCGUGCAGGAAGAAGGCCCUAUGGGUCGUAAACCGCUUUUGUACCAGAGAAAACCCGGGUACGUGUACUCGGUUGAUAGUAUGGUAAGAAUAAGCAUCGGCUAACUUCGUGCCAGCAGCCGCGGUAAGACGAAGGAUGCAAGCGUUAUCCGGAUUCAUUGGGUUUAAAGGGUGCGUAGGCGGACUGAUAAGUCAGUGGUGAAAUCUCUCGGCUUAACCGAGAAACUGCCAUUGAUACUGUUAGUCUAGAGUAUAGAUGACGUUGGCGGAAUAUGACAUGUAGUGGUGAAAUACUUAGAUAUGUCAUAGAACACCGAUUGCGAAGGCAGCUAACGAAACUAUAACUGACGCUGAGGCACGAAAGUGCGGGGAUCAAACAGGAUUAGAUACCCUGGUAGUCCGCACCGUAAACGAUGAUUACUCGUUGUUGGCAAUAUGACCGUCAGCGACCAAGCGAAAGCGAGAGUAAUACACCGNGGAGGUAACGCGCGACGAGUAAGUUAAGUUAGUAGUUAGNGNGNGAGAGNGCGAGACGACGACGAGGAGGAGG